UGGGACACUGUGCUGGUCCCGGCUGCAGUGAGCUGGCUAUGGGGGCUGUCACGUCCUUCAGCUGGGUGGGUGUGUGGGAAAGGAUCUCCUGGAAAGGUGGAUGUGAGGAGAAGGAUCUCCUAGAGAGGGGGGUGUGUGGGAAAGGAUCUCCUGGAAAGGUGGAUGUGAGGAGAAGGAUCUCCUAGAGAGGGGGGUGUGUGGGAAAGGAUCUCCUGGAAAGGUGGAUGUGAGGAGAAGGAUCUCCUGGAGAGGGGGGUGUGUGGAGAAGGAUCUCCUGGAAAGGGGGAUGUGUGGAGAAGGAUCUCCUGGAGAGGGGAUGUGUGGAGAAGGAUCUCCUGGAGUGGGGAUGUGUGGCUUUACCUUCCCUUUGGGGCCGUGGGGCUGUGGCAGCGCUGGGUCAGUGUGGAGCGGCUGUGGGGGGCUGUCAGCCACGCUGCCUCCCGAGUCAGGCACAGCUCUUUGGGUUUGUGUCCUCCCAUAGAAACAGCAAAUGCAGAGCCUGGCUGUCCUGAGGCUGCGGCUGUGCCCAGCUCCCGGCCCUGGCUCUGGUAGGCUCCGGGGUGAGGGCAGUGCUGCCGCCGUGGCUGUGCUGACUCAGCUCUGAUCCAGGCCAUGGAGCUGAUGGGAGAGAAGAUCCAUGCCACACUCCUGCUUUUCCAGGCUUUCCUGAUCUGAUCAGAGAGGAUAAGACCCUGUAAUUGGGUGCUGAAUCCUUGUGCUGUGGAGGUAUAGCUGAGCACAUCAGUGAAUUAUUUUAUGCCUUGAUGUUCACCUGGCUGAUGGUUUGUCCCAAUUAGAGAUCUUUAAAUUAUAGUAAAGGGUGGCUGUGUGUAAGGUUUGGCUGUUUGGCUUGAAUCAAAAUAGAAUUCCUCCAGUUGUGCCCCUGUGAGCACUGGGGUGGAUGUUUACAAGUAAAGGGGAGAGGUUCUGGGUUUGCUGUAGAAGUCCCCAGCCUUUCGAGUAUGCUCAUGUGUGGAAUUGUUUGAGUUGCCUCCUCGUAUCCUGAGUGAUCCCCAAAACCUGUGUGUUCCCCAGGCUGCUCUGCGGAGCCCAGGUGGGCUCCAGUGGGUGCAAAGGGUGGUGAGCAGCUGGAUGGAUUUGUGCCCUCAAGGAGGAGCAUCCGUGCCUCUGGGAGGCUGGAAGGUGGGAAGAGGAUUACAGGGGGCAGGUGAGGUGGGCAGAGGAGCAGGUUUAUGUCUGAUGCUGCCUGUCCUUCUGGGAAAGGACACAAGGAGCAU
rnacentral:lncRNA from 13 species